UGUCUCUGGUAACUCUUUUCUCCUCUUGUGACAUGUAUAUGAAUAGGGGAUACUGUGGGACUGAAGAAAAGGAAAAAGAAAGAAGAAAAUGAAUCUGCUCUCUGU
rnacentral:ribozyme from 1 species